AUUCUGUAUGUGGAGGGUGGGAAGAGGAGGAAACAAAACAUAACAUCUGACUUGGACAACAUAGUGAAUUACUGAGGCUUGGAUAUGAGAAGAACUGAACAGUAGGAAAGUGUGGAAAAUGCACCACUUGCAGCAAUCCCUCAGUGAGGGACAGAAGAAGAGGAGGAACAGAUUGGAUUUGGGCUCCACUUGAUCCACACUCUUGAUAAGAAAGGAAAGAAGCCAACUUUGGGAAUGAGUAUCUCCCCAGUUUACAGUGAUCCAGCUCAGCAGUUCCUUUCAGCACGGGAGUGAAUCUCAAAUGCUUGAGCAGCAAAACGUUUCUUAAAAACAAAGAAAACAGACACAUGAAGAAAACCACUGCAGUUGUCUUAGAAAGAAAGGGCUUUGUGGCCCCAAAGGAUACCUGAGGAUUUGUUCUAAACCUCUAGCAACUUGUCCUGCAUGAUUUAGCUGCAGUGGAAGCCUGGUGUUGCUGCACAGCCUAUUACACCUACCUAAAGUGACACUAGCACAGUUAAUAUACUGCAACAAUCGUAUUUUUCACAGAGUUGUACUGCUGUUGACAGCCACUGGAUUGCAGACUGUUGCCCCAACCCCAUGUCAUCUUCAUACUGCCAUCACACGUAGCAGUCACCUGCACUGCAGUGCUUUUGUGUGCAUAUAUGAUUGAGAGCAAUGAGUGGUGGGAGGUACAUUGGUAUAACACGAACACAAUCUCUGCAGGAUUAACGAUAUUCUUGGCUUCCACAGAUAGUCCUUUACAAUGUAUGACGAUCAUACAAUGUGUGAUUUUGAUUUAUCUCCCAUCUUUAUGCUCACUUUGGGGCUCCUGGCUAUGCCUUCAGGAGAAAAAAAAAUCUGCAGAGAGAAGUGUUGAGUUUUUCUCUUACUCAUUUCUGUCACAAAAUGGAGCUGAGAGAGAAAAAUCAGUAGCUUUCAAACACUAUUACCUUGCUAGUGAUAGCUCUCGUCACAUGACAGUUCUCAAACUGAUAAGAUGUUCCAAACAGCCACAGAAAAGGCAAAGAGGUUUUUCAGUGCCCCAGCUCUGUCUCUUCAGCUUGCACAUGUUUUCAAACAUAAUUUCAUGCCUGCUUUCUGACAGCUCAUUAAACAAAGGCCUCUUGGUACAUAUAGUGCCCAUCUUCCUGCUGAGAAUGUAACAUAUUUAUGGUGUUUGCAGAUUGCUGGCUGUUUGCUCUCCUGCUUUGCAGUGUCCUGCCUGCCAAAUGCUUAUCAGUGUAGCGGAGGUGACAGUCUUCCCCAUUUGUGUAGGUAGCAAUGGUCUUGUGUUUGACCCUCGGAGGCACGAAGCAAUAUGAUUAGAAGAAGCUCUGCAAGCAAUAGAUAAAAGCAAUCACGCAGGGAGAGACAGUGAGGAAGAGCUCAGGGGAGGAGGCUGAUGUUGUGGAAGCUGAUAGCUUGCAUUCAGGGAAAGUGCUGGCAGUUAGUUAGCGAGACAGCUGGUUACAUUCAGACCUUGUGGGAUUUCAGCUUCAGACAAAGCAAACAAGGAUUCAGGAGCGCUGAGAAGCUAUCUGUAGCGACAUACAAGGGCAAUCAGAGCUACUCAUUUCUAAUUAUCUGCCUCUCUCCUGCCAUUAAACUAUCAUUAUUAUACAUUCAAACCAAUAAAGUUUAGUGAAUUUAGCACCUUCUAUUUUCUUUAAAAGCUGCUGCCAAAACUCUGUUUCCCUUCCUAAUGGAACAGAUGAAGACAUCUUUAAGCCAGCCGCUACCGUUCAUCCAUCUGUCCUCUGAGGGCAGCAGGGGACGAGGAGCAGCUUUCUGCCUGUCCCACCACCAGCAGCUGAAGUAUCUGUUCCACUUCACCAGAGUAACAAAAGAGCUAAUUGGGUUUUGUUUUUUAGAGAAUUUUAUUUUCUUUUUCACUUCUUGUCAAACCUAUCACCAGUCAGUAUCAAAAGAAAAUGCAGUGGCAGCUCUGUUUGGCUGCCAAAACCUAAUCAACACAGAGGAGCUUUCGAGUGGCUGUCAGACAGGAUUAUGAUAUUAAUCCUAACUAUAUGCAUGUUCCAGGAAAAGGAGCAUCACUUUAAGUAAAAGUCAGAGGGUGACAGGUAAUGAAGGACAAAUAUUUCACAGCUCAAAGGAUGUUUCCAUCCCCACAUUAGGUGAGCUUUCUAAUUACAGCUGAGAGAAGCAGCAGCACCUGUGCAUGUUUGUUGCUAUCUAACCAUGUCUCAUACAAAUAAACAGGUACCGAGUCAGCCCCAGCACAAACAUAAGGGUUCAAGAAACAUUCAGACCAUGAGGGAGCAAUGUUUGUAAUUUAGUAGGCAGUUCUUCCCACUCUGAGUCAGUAGUGAAUCAAGAGUUUUAGGACCUUCCUCUGCCACGGAGGGUCACUUUGGGAUUGGACACAAAUUCAAGGCUUCAUGUAGUUUUUGCCAUUAGUGACAAUGUGGCAUUAUUUAUAGCAUCAGUCAAACUGAAUGCUGGGUCUGACUCCCAAAUGGAAAAUGGGUAAUGUGCCUGGCUUGGCUGCAGAUAAAAUAAUAUGGGUAACAUUCCUGGCUUGACUGCAAAUAAAAUAAGAUGGGCUGGGAUUCAUCAGAUUAAAUGCAUCCUAAGCUGGACAUCUGAAACAGAGCAGAGGAAUCAUAGCCUAUGUUUCUGAAUACUGUCCCACUUCUUUCCAUGUUUAAAGUUAGAUAAGCUGAAUCCCAUCUGCAAGAACUCCAAGCCCAAUAUUCCAACACAGGAAUAUCAACAUCUGCCUAACAAGUGCUGAUGUACUGACAGCCUUAAUGCUACAGUGAUGGAAGUUUUACUGCCGCUGUGUCCUGUCGAUAAAGUGCAAAGCAUCAGUGC